UACGUAGGGGGCAAGCGUUGUCCGGAAUCAUUGGGCGUAAAGAGCGUGUAGGCGGCUUGGUAAGUCCGCUGUGAAAGUCCAGGGCUCAACCCUGGAAAGCCGGUGGAAACUGUCAAGCUUGAGUCCGGAAGAGGCGAGUGGAAUUCCUGGUGUAGCGGUGAAAUGCGCAGAUAUCAGGAGGAACACCAAUGGCGAAGGCAGCUCGCUGGGACGGUACUGACGCUGAGACGCGAAAGCGUGGGGAGCGAACAGG
rnacentral:rRNA from 1 species